CAGCUGUGCCCACUGGGGCUACCUGAGGCAAACUUAGGGAAACAGUGCCAGCUCCACUUCUUUAUUGCUGGGGGUGAUGUGACCACGCUGCUGGGACCCUUGAACCCUUUAGGUUCUGCGUGACUUCGAUCAAGUCAUUUCACCUCUCCACACCUCAGUUUCCUGCCCCAUAAACUGGAGACACUAAUAGAACCCACCUUAUGGGGUUCUUUGUAAGAAUGGAUUGCUAUUAAUUGCUAUAGGGAAUGAAUUAAUUGCUUGUUAAUUGCUAUGAAUGUUAAAAAUCCAUUGCUAUAUGAGUUAAUUGCUUGAAAGUGUCCACCACAGUGUCUGGCACAGAGUGAGCAUUCAGCAAUCAGCAGCAGUUACUGUCAUUGAGACAACAUUUCUUUCUUUUUUUUUUGAGACAGAGUUUCACUGUUGUUACCGAGACUGGAGUGCAAUGGCAUGAUCUCAGCUCACCUCAACCUCCGCCUUCUGAGUUCAAGCAAUUCUCCUGCCUCAGCCUCCCGUAGCUGGGACUACAGAUGAGGAAACAGGCUCCAAGCAGUUGGGCGUUUUGCAUGCAGUUGAACAACCGGCCCUGGGAUCCGACUCUGGCUGCUCCAAUUCCCAAGCCCGAGUUAUUUCUGAUACUGCAGACAGGUGUCUUGCUGUGUUGCUCAGGCUGGUCUUGAACUCCCGGGCUCAAGCAGUCCUCCUGCCUCAGCCUCUGGAGCGGCUGGAAUCACAGGUAUAUACCAUCAUGCUCAGUGACGUAAGUUGUUUUAUCGUUAUUGUAUACCAGAAUCCUAAUAAGGAAAAAAUGUCUUAUUCUUCAUGUGAAAUUUGAGUGGGAUAGUGGGCUAAGUGAGGGGGCUUUGUAAGCUAUAAGGUACCCAGAGAUAGAAAUACAUGUUAUUCUAUUCCAAAAUUUUUAUUUUGGAAUAGUACAUAUUCAGUAAAAUAUAC
rnacentral:lncRNA from 13 species